rnacentral:rRNA from 1 species
UAGGGAAUCUUCCGCAAUGGGCGAAAGCCUGACGGAGCAACGCCGCGUGAGUGAUGAAGGUCUUCGGAUCGUAAAACUCUGUUAUUAGGGAAGAACAAAUGUGUAAGUAACUAUGCACGUCUUGACGGUACCUAAUCAGUAAGCCACGGCUAACUACGUGCCAGCAGCCGCGGUAAUACGUAGGUGGCAAGCGUUAUCCGGAAUUAUUGGGCGUAAAGCGCGCGUAGGCGGUUUUUUAAGUCUGAUGUGAAAGCCCACGGCUCAACCGUGGAGGGUCAUUGGAAACUGGAAAACUUGAGUGCAGAAGAGGAAAGUGGAAUUCCAUGUGUAGCGGUGAAAUGCGCAGAGAUAUGGAGGACCACCAGUGGCGAAGGCGACUUUCUGGUCUGUAACUGACGCUGAUGUGCGAAAGCGUGGGGAUCAAACAGG